UAUUUUAUUUUUCUCUCUUAUAGCUAUGCGAGCAAAAGUGCGUGUAAUUUUUCGCUGCUCUUUUCUUAUUUUCUCUACUUUUAUGUAGAAGAAAGCCUCCUGCGUAAAAGCUGAAUAGUGUUCUAUCAGUGGAAGUGGGGUUGUUUGUUUGAUUUUGUUGGGUGUUCGAUAUCUUGACGAAGUAAGCAGUGCUUAAUUUUGCAGGUUUUUGAGCAGAAAUGCUGGUAUCUGAGCACGGAGUAGAUAUAUUUCUCUGCUCCUUAAGAAAAUUUGUACGUCGUUUUCCAAGCAGACCGCGUUUAGUUUACGCGAAAUAGAAAAAUGAAGUUGUGUAUGCUCUAUGAUGAUCCGCCGCAGGCUUAGCCCUUUUCCCCGAUGAGCAGUAUUUUGUAUGCGAUGUCGCAUGUCUGGACUUGUUCAGUAGUGUUGCAAUUUUUACCCUUUAAUAUCUUGUUGGUGUCGUCUUGUGUUAGACGUUGAGCUUCGUAGCGACGUGCGGUAACGCUACGAUUAUUCCUGAGCGCACCGUGUGUUUAAUGCGUUGUACUCUGUGCGUGCGUGCGUGUGCUUUUUUUUCUUCCUGAUUUGUGACGUCAUCGUGGCAUGUCUGGACUUGUUUAGCAGUGUUGCAGUUCUUCCCGCUGCUAGUAUGUUGUUGGUGUCAUGUUGUGCUAGCCGCGUGGCGAUGUGUGGUGACCUGAGGUCUUAAGCCUUUUCCCUGCUCACCUAAGGAAAUUUGUGUAUCCCUGUCCUGUGCUUUCUUUACGCAAGGGUAAUGCGGCUGUGUAUGUGGCACUAUCAGAUACCAGACAUGAGUGUCUUUUUCUCAGUUUAUUGGUGUGCGCUACGGUUUCUUGCAGUUACAGCUAUUGGAGCGCAAAUGCGUGUAAUUUUUCGCUGCUCUUUUCUUAUUUUCUCUACUUUUUAUGUAGAACAAAGCCUCCUGCGUAAAAGCUGAAUAGUGUUGUACCAGUGGAAGUGGGGUUGUUUGUUUGAUUUUGUUCGAUAUCUUGACGAAGUAAGCAGUGUUUAAUUUUGCAGAUUUUUGAGCAGAAAUGCUGGUAUCUGAGCACGGAGUAGAUAUAUUUCUCUGCUCCUUAAGAAAAUUUGUACGUCGUUUUCCAAGCAGACCGCGUUUAGUUUACGCGAAAUAGAAAAAUGAAGUUGUGUAUGCUCUAUGAUGAUCCGCCGCGGGCUUAGGCCUUUUCCCCGAUGAGCAGUGUUUUGUAUGCGAUGUCGCAUGUCUGGACUUGUUCAGUAGUGUUGCAAUGUUUAUCCUUUAAUAUCUUGUUGCUGCCGUCUUGUGUUAGACGUUGAGCUUCGUAGCAAUGUGCGGUAACGCUACGAUUAUUCCUGAGCGCUUCGUGUGUUUAAUGCGUUGUCCUCUGUGCGUGCAUGCCUGUGCUUUUUUUCCCCCUGAUUUGUGACGUCAUCGUGGCAUGUCUGGACUUGUUUAGCAGUGUUGCAGUUCUUCCCGCCGCUAGUAUGUUGUUGGUGUCAUGUUGUGUUAGCCGCGUGGCGAUGUGUGGUGACCUGAGGUCUUAAGCCUUUUCACUGCUCACCUAAGGAUAUUUGUGUAUCCCUGUCCUGUGCUUUCUUUACGCAAGGGCAAUGCGUCUGUGUAUGUGGCACUAUCAGAUACCAGACAUGAGUGUCUUUUUCUUGGUUUAUUGGCAUAUGAUUCAGGUUUUUUAAGUCAAGCAAAAGUGCACGCAAUUUUUUUCUGCUCUUUUCUUAUUUUCUCUACUUUUUAUGUAGAAGAAAGCCUCCUGCGUAAAAGCUAAAUAGUGUUCUACCAGUGGAAGUGGGGUUGUUUGUUUGAUUUUGUUGGGUGUUCGAUAUGUUGAGGAAGUCAGCUGUUAAAGGUAUCCGUGAAGAAAUGCUUGCAUCUGAGCGCAGGAUAGGAAUUCCUGAAGCACGGCACCCUCAGUGUAAAUUAAUUAUUUUGGAUAUGAGUCUGCUUCCCUGCAUGACAAGGCUGAAAUGGGAAGAGAGAAAAAAUUGGAGCGCUUCAUUAGUAGCGAUCCAAGUAAUAGGGCAAUUAUAGUUUCCAUAGAAAGUAGAAUUUUAAUGGGCUCCUAAAAUUAUAGUUUAGUUGUAGUUUUUCUAAACUGCAAUGCAAUAAUCAUUAAUAUAGUAUAGGAAUGCUAUCGUGUUCCCGUAAAGGCGUUCUGUCUUGUGCUUUGGAAUGCGCGAAUAGAACUUUGCUCCCAGGCUUUUCCCGCCUUUAUGCUCGCAAUGCGCGAAUGGAACUUUGCCCACCCAGCUUCCGCGCCUUUUUUGCUCGCAGGUGUAGCCUCAGACAACGAAUGUGUGAGCAUAGAAAGGGUCAUGUAUUACAUAAGCCUGGAGGUGAUGUUGAGUGGUUUCACUUAUUAUUAUUUUAAAAGAGCAGUGGUAGUUUACUGUAAUUCUAAUGACCAUGAUGAGCCUUUGGGGUGAAAAUCGUUAAUAUGUAGGGUGCUUUUUUGUUGAAUUUUAAUGAGAGAAUGAAUGUCAUUAAGAGUAGGACAAAGGAAAUAAUCUUGCGAUUCAAUAAAUAAUAGGAGUCUUUGCCGGUGUCUUCUUCUUCUUCAGACAGGAUGUGAUGACGUCACACAGUCUGUAGCAAUGCAUUGACCGUUACUGGAAAAAAGUGUGGCAAUAGAAAAAUAGUGUGUAUUGUCCUGGGCAGAUUUAUGAUGAGCACUGUUUUUGAAUAAGAGGAGUGCGUGUGCUUAGAAAUAGUUUGAUGCUGGUUUCCUUCUUUGUUUCUUUUCGCUUUUUCCCCCUUGUCUGAGAAACAUGUGCUGACAUGCCUGGGCUUGUUCUGACAUGCUUUCCUUCUGCAUGUAGUUUUUUUUCUUUUUGUACAAGGCAUAUUCUUGACGAUAGUGCUGCCUUGAAUGGGAGUAGAGCUAUUCUUAAUAAUUUUGCGAUUCAUUUAGUUCAGAGAGUAACCGCGAGGGGGACAGGUGUGUGACUUUAUGUCUUGCUGAACCAUUUUUUUUUUCCUGUACAGUAAGACUUUGGGAAUGAAAUGCUACAAUCUCCUCUUGUCUAUGGUGUUUUUCUGCAAUAGUUCCCUACGCAAUCAUUAUAGUAGAAUAAAGGAAAUAAUCUAGGGAUAGUGAUUCAAUAAAUAACAGGUGCCCUGUCUAGAGCGUACGCGUCCUUGAGCCACGCACCUGCAUGAUGACCACAUACCGAGAGACUAUUGUUUCAGGUUGACCUUGUCUAGAGGAGCAUUAGUGGAAAAAAACUGUGUAGCCCUGAGACAAUAGGAUGACGUCACGACCAAUGAGAACGGCCUCCAGGGGGCGCAAGGAUUCACUUCUCUCUUGGACACUGACGGGUCUCGACACGCAAAUUCUGCUCCUGGCGUUGGCCGUCAGUGGAAGAGCGUAGCUUCGGUGGGGUUCUGUCUGCCUCUGAUGGGGUGCGGAUGUGUGGUUCGUCACUGGUGAAUGGUGUUCGACGAUACAGGUGGAUUUUGUGACAAGCGGAUUUACAAUGAGGGAAUGCUGUGAACGGGAAAAAUGAUGAGCUGUCCUAACUUGCCCAGACAUGCCAUGAUGACGUCACAGCUGACGUCACAGGAUGUCCGGAACUUGUGGUCAUAGCUGGGAUGCUUUGCAACCUGCCUCUGUGCUCCGUCGCCCGGCGAUGGUCAGCGGCCUUUCCGGGCCGCUUCCUUCAAGAUGGCGUCGUUGAUCUUCAACUAAACUCCUUCUCUCCACUCUAUCUCUAUCUAUUUUUUUAUUUUUUAUGACCACGUUUAUCCGGAAACGCACAGGGUGGUCUGGACACUAGUUAGACGCUCCCCAAUUAGUGUGAUGACUCAUUGGAUGAUGCUGAUUAAUGUGGGGGGGUCCCAAUUAGCUCUAAUUGCUAAUUAAUGGCGUCCAGAAGCUUGUAGCGUUUCCGGAUACGCGUGGUCAGUACUUACUACUAAUACGGGCGACUGUUUUCGGACAUGGUUUUUCACACACCAUUGACACACUUUUGUGACAAUAUCAUGAUACUCACUUGAAAGGAGUGACAUUGUGCAGCUGUUGAAACUGAGCAGUGGGUAGAAGGCACUCUUCGAGUAUCCUAGAGAACCAAAUAGUGCGUAUAAUAACAGAGUAAUGAGACUACAAAAAUAGCGUGUUGGUCAAACGAAUACAUGUUUACCUACCCCGGAAAGGCAACGGACGGACGGACACUGCAUGUGUCUGCGUUGUCCGUUCCUUAACGAUGCAUGCAUCAUAAGCAAUUGACAGCGCUCACUUAACGCAGGCAUGACAAGUUGUGUACUAAUGUUUCAUGUUCUAUCAGUCGCAUUGCCAACUGUAGGACGGGACAUGCGAAAGCUUGCCCACAUCACAUUUCAAAAGUGCUACAGCCAUUGCCCUAAAAACGAAGAGCAGGCUCAAGGCAGGCACGAAACGGUACAUCUCAUCCCGGCGCAUGCUGAAGAAGAAGCAAGAAGCUUCCAGACACAUCGCCUGCUCUCUGGCAAACGCACGUGCUGUUUCUAGACUUUUCGGCGCGACGCUUAAAUGCUUGUGCGCUCCAAGCUGGAGCAUUCAUUCUUUGGACUCAGUUGUGUUCAGACAGCUAUCACUCUUGUAUUUUGCUACCAAGUAGUCUAAUAAACCGUUCGC